AUUCAUUUCUCCAGUCAGCUGGGCGGAGGAGAAACCGUGAAGCCGCUGACUCAGCUCGGCGCCCACAGUCCUCCAAUUAAUUGAAGGCGCGUCGCGAGUGAAACUUAAACUUAACACGCUUUUCUUGUGGAAAUCCUGAUGCGGCCCAGCCUCACCCAGACUCUGCCUCCACUGGCCCCGAGGUAAAUUGAAUUUGAGACCCCUGUUUUAGAUGUUUCGCUCAGUUGGAUGUGUUUCCCUUCUUGUCUAGAAAGGCUGACGGCAUCUUUCGCAUACAGAUAUUUGAAAAUUAACGAUUAAUCGCCGUUCAUCAACCCCAAAUGCAAAGUACCCUAAAUGCACAAUACCUUACUGUUUGGUGUUUUUAUUUUCAACAAAUGGAGGUGCUGCUAUUGAUGCAGUUGUAGAUGACGCCAAUGCGCGUGCCACUGCCAUGUUGCAUGCUGUGAGAGCACAUGUAGCAGGGAACCACGUCAUCAGACGCUGUGUGGGUUGCUAGAUAACCGCUCAUUUACACCCCCCUGAACAAAACAAAAAAGGCAGCCUCAUCUCCCGCCUUCCUUUGUUACCAAUGUUACUUCGGGCAUUGCCGAAAAGGCAGUACCGUCAUUUUUUAGAAAAUUGCCUUCGACUUGGUACCAAAGUAUCGGUUCUCAUUACAACCUAGUGGCGAGAAGGAAAAAAUUGUUGACGUGACCACAGAAAAUCUUAUAAAUUAACAAUGGUAAAUAUGAAACUUUUUUAAAUUUAUGUAAGUGAAGGGUUGCCAUAUUGGCCAGGGCCAGCCUUGCAAAAUAACCACAAUGUUCUCUACGCCAAAUGUUUAGUGUUUCUUUUACACGUUUGUGAUAGACUGAUAUAUUAAUUUUUCAAGGCCGAUACUGAUUAGUAACUGGGCCCAAUAACUGAUGUUUGGAGCCAAUAUUUUUUUGCGGUACAGGGAACAUUUUGCCAUUAACAUUUUUAAUUAUUCAAACGACUUAAUUUCCUGUAAAAGCACAUGUAAAUGUUUGUUUAAUACAAUACAAUUCAAUCCGUAGAGAAGAUACCAACUUUUAAUUGUAACACAAAGCACUGGGAGCUGCAAAGCUCAGCAGCAUGUCUUAUAAAGUUAAAUGAAACUGUAACAAAUGAAUAACUCCCUAAAAUGUUCCAGUCCAACUUAAGUUUUAAAACAUUCAAUACAAGUUAAAUUUUAAUCUCUCAAUUACAACUAUUAUCUUUGAAUGAAGUACACAAACAAUUUAUCCCCAAAGCAGCUACUGGCCAACAGGUCACCAGUGUGAUGUGCAUUUAGACAUCUUAACAUCUCAAGUAACCUAUUCAUGAUUAUUUAUCAGACUUCAGAUUAAUAUUAAAAAUAAAAGUCGAUGCAAACAUGAACCUAAAUGUGGCGUAUUCGCCCCGAUAGGCUGAUUAUCUAUGACUAACAUUGCAGCAUUUGCAUUGGGGCUAUGUGGAGUUUCCAUGUUUUCCCUGAGUCUGUGUUGGUUAUCUCUGGGUUCUGCGGUUUUCUCCCACAUUCUAAAAAUAUGCAUGGCAGUGUGCUGGCAUCCAUUUCGCAUUCCAUUUCUCAUCUAAAGGUCAGCUAGGAUCGGCUCCAGCACACCUGGAACUUUAGUGAGGCUAAGUGGUACAGAGAAUAAGAUAAGCAUGACAAUAUUACAAUUUACAGGUACCAAACAUAUAUUCAUUUUUAGUUCACUUCGAGAUGAUAUAAAAUUGGAUUGUAGCUAUUUUCCUAGAAAAAUUAAAAGCCCGAUUCAAUAGAAGUUAAUGGAAUAAAUGGUUAAGAAUAAUAAAAAGGAAAUAUUCGAAUGUGUAUUAAAAACCUUUCCUGAAUGUAAAUUAGAUGCAUGCGUCUGGCAUCAAAACGUAGCGAUCCGGCUAUUUAAACGGUCAUGUGGUCAGUUUGUAUGAAUUGAUAUGGUCACUUUUUCAACAUCAUAUUUUGAUGGGUAGUAAUUAAUAACUUGAAUUUUCUUUUUAAUAUAGUGUAAACAAAAUUAUUUUGGUUAAACAGUAUGUAUAUUGUGCAUAUCCAUAAUUUAAUUUCAAAUAACACAAUGACUGCUAUAGAAUUUCAUUUCUCUUCUAAAAGUCAGCUAGGAUAGGCUCCAGCACACCUGGAACUUUAGUGAGGCUAAAUGGUACAGAGAAUGGAUAGAUGAGAUUAUGAGCAUGACAGUUUUCCAAUGUACAAGUACCAAACAUGUAUGCAUUUUAGUUCACUUUGAGAUGAUAGAUAAAUUGGAUUGUAGCUAUGAUUAUUAACGUAUGACAAAAUACAUUCAAAUAUAGAGAUUGUUCUAGAUAAAUUUAAAGCCCGCUUAAAUGGACGUUAAUGCAAUAAAUGGGUAAGAAUAAUAAAAAGGAAAUAUUGGAAUGUGUAUUAAAAAAACUUUCCUGAAUGUAAAUCAGAUGCGUGCAUCUGGCAUCAAAGGGUAGCGAUCCGGUUAUCUAAAUUGUCAUGUGGUCAGUUUAUAUGAAUUGAUAUGGUAACUUUUUCAACAACAUAUUUUGAUAUGUAGUAGUUAAUAUCCAAAUCUCUUUUUAACAUAGUAUAAACAAAAUAUUUUUGGUAAAAGCAGUGUGUAUAUUGUGCAUAUCCAUAAGUUAAUUUAUUGACUGCUAUAGAAUUUCAUUUCUCAUCGAAAAUUCAGCUAGGAUAGGCUCCAGCACACCUGGAACUUUAGUGAGGCUAAGUGGUACAGAGAAUGGAUAAAUGAGAUCAUGAGCAUUACAGUGUUACAAUGUACAAGUACCACUCCUGUGUGCAUUUUUAGUUGACUUUGAGAUGAUGAGAAAUUCGAUUGUAGCUAUGAUUAUUAACCUAUAACAAAAUACAUUUAAAUAUAAAGAUUGUUCUAGAUCAGCGGCUCUUAACCUGGGUUUGAUCAAACCCUAGUGGUUCGGCAAAGCCUCCACAGGUCCGAACACACCUGAUUUAUCGUGUAAAUAUGUGAUGACGCAUAUCUAAACUGGUCUCUCAAACGCAACAGCAGAAGUCACACUUAUUUGCAGGUAUGUAAUUUGUUUUCAGUUCAUGCAUUGUGUUGGUUUUGUACUUUGAACAAGGUGAUGUUCAUGCUUGGCUCAUUU